rnacentral:sRNA from 1 species
UUAUAUUCUCCGCCGGGGGGAUGAGAACCCCCGACCGGGGUUCGACAACUGGCGCAGCCAGUUGGACAGACCGCGAGCCCGCGAGCGGGCUGCCCCGCAGGGGCGAGCGAAGCGAGUCAAUCCCCCCUCACCGCCA